GGAUCAAGGUGCCGGUCAUGCCUUUGGGUAUGUACUGACAUCAUUGAUUUCUCCCUUCUGAUGAACUGUGAUGUCAUUAAUUUGGUGUCAUGGAGAAUCAGGACUGUUACUUUGAAAAAAUUAGAGUGUUUAAAGCAAGCACACGCUUGAAUACAUUAGCAUGGAAUAAUGAAAUAGGACGUUUGAUCCUAUUUUGUUGGUUUCUAGGAUCGACGUA
rnacentral:rRNA from 1 species